ACAAUCCGGGGAAUGACGAAGGCGGAUCGUUAUAGAGCUUGUUUGCUUUGUUUCUGUGCUGUUAGCAUGUCUGGAUGUACUAUAAACGAUGACUGCUUUUGUGAAUUGAUGUCUAGAUGUGGACUUCACAUGGUUACUAGAAUUCAAAUGUUCCGUCUUUCCGUGGUUCCGCGACCUUUUCUCUAUUGUUUGUGUGAGACAAGACGAGUUGCUAAAGAAUGAUGUUUGGGAGUUUAUUCCGCGUUAUCCCGCGGUUUACGAAUGGCCUUGCAGUUGGUGACAUAGCUGCUGUUCGAGCAGGUGCUGCACUGAGACAAAUUCGUAUGCAGAUGAAAUUGUUGAUUCAAUUAGAACAUGUUGUUCCGUCAUGCAUUUGCAGUCGCUUUCAAGAGUGUUCAUGUUGAAGAUGAUAGAACACUGCGUCGCUGGUUUUGCCAUAACAUGGCAUAUUAUCAAUGCUGCUGGUAAGUCAAACACGAGUGAGGUGUCAAAGACUGCUGAACAGCUGACAGAAAUAACAUCUAGGCAUCGUCAAUUGGAUGAAUGGCUUUCUAGCAUCCAGAAGAACUCGGAUCAGCAAAAUGUUGUAAUAAAAUUGAUAGCAGUUUGUCUCAAGAAACCAUGAGUGUCAGCAACCUGAUGAGACGUUAUCUCAGCCUACUUCUAGCUCACAAAACAGCAGCACCAGCAGUACUGAUCCUGGUAAUGAGCAGGAACAGCAACAGACUCACCCCAUAACAACAUCAACUAGGUGCAUUCACGGCAGCAAUUGAAGAAGAUCCUGGAGAUGAAGAGGUGUGAUGUAUCACUAAGUAUUCUAAUUUACUCAUAUUUGCUUCAAAUUAUUGAUUCUUGAUUACACAUGUUUGCAAAAUGAAUUAUCACGUUUAGCAGUAUCAGUAUAGAUCUUCAAGUCAUUUGUUUGUCUUUAUUUAUUGAUUACUUUUAGCAAAUAUAGCUGAUAAUUAUAACCUAGAUUGUUGCUUUAUGAACUGCAACGUACAUAGAUAGAUAGAGAUCGAGUGCCAUGUUUAUGUGUAGAGUUAUUUUUUGUUUACUUGUUGAUUUUAUGUAAUGAAUCGUGUUAUUUAUUAUAAUUGACUAAGAGUGUCAGUCAUACUUACUUCUUUCACAAACAGUUUAUGUUAAGGUCUAAAAUUCACUAGAACAUGUUUGUAUGCAUG